rnacentral:lncRNA from 1 species
UCUCACACAUAUGAUGUAUAGUGGCACAUGAUCGAAUGUCACAACUUUAUAUAUAACAGGAGUUCUAUACAAAAUAAAUAAUUACAUUAUAAGGAGACAACGGUCCAGCAACCCAAAAGUUGACUGGGAGACGACGACCUAGACCUCUCACGAACUCAUCACAGCAUCCUCCAUGAGCGUCAUCCUGCAGUACCUGGUCUUGACCUGUGGUGUAUGUGAGACAGCAAGAGUGAGCUCACAUACGUUCAUCGCUCAACAAGUUGUGGGGAAUAAUGUGCAUGAACUCGCCAAAGGUGGGAGCUCACGUGAAGUGUAAGGCUUACCAAAGAAGAUGGUUAGGGCUGAGCAUUGCUUUUAAAGUUGGUCAAAAUUUUAUUAGCAAUUACUAAGUAUAAGUAAAUACCAACCCAAUUAAGCAGUAGAACAAAAAUAACAACUUCACCUGCUAUGCAAUGCAUAUGACAAAUUGAAUUUAGUUCCAUAAUUUAAUCAUGUGAGUGUCCGAGCCGCUCAUGACCGUGAGCACGGCUAGUAUACCAGUUUUACACUCUGCAGAGGUUGCGCAUCUUUACCCACAAGUCGUGUAUCCCAUGUCGCCAGGGUUUGCAAAGCCCUUAGACACUUCCGAGGUGAAUGGCUAGGGAUCCACUACGAGGCCUUUACAAAGUUCCACUAGCUUCCGAAAACCCGCUACAGUUUAUAGGAAGAUCCAGUACAGGAAUCCCUUGCAGGACCGCCAUCGCAGCAAAAUCCUCCCGAGGGCACUUCCCGCACUGACCUCUCCCCUACUGCCCUUGCCCCUUUCGGGUAAGGUAGUCUUCCACUAGCUUUCCUAAUUAGUCAGCCAAGGGCGUCCCAUUAAACCCUUGUGGUAGCACUGUUUUCCCGGGUGGUUCUCCAUGUUCCAAUUAACAUAAUGAUCUCAAUAUGAACAAUAAAUAAUAACUGAUAACAAAAGUGUAACCAUGAAUAGUGUAUCUCCAUACCCAAAACCACAUAUAGCACUAGCAAGUACUACCCAGAAAGUUCAGUGGUGAACAAGGUAUAAAGAUAGACAAACUAGGGUAACCUAUUGGGUCCCAUCAAAAUUAACCUAUGCAGAUCAUUAUGAUUAAUUAGAACAUGAGUAGGUGAAAAGAAGUGAUCAAGGGCACAACUUGCCUGGGCCUUGAGAUUCCAGGUACCAGGAUGAUCUUCAGGUGACACGUGACCUCACUGCUAGUCGUAGCAUUACAAACAAACAGUGUAUAGACAGAAUUAACAUUACACCAAACAUAUAUGCAAAAUACAUAUUAAUAAUCUACAUGUUAAAAUAAGAUCACAGGAAAAAGAAUUAUUAAUUUUGGAGUUAUAGAUUUUAAGUUAUGGAUUUCCAAAGAUUCUAUGUGCUUAGUACAAGAUUAAUUAAGAUAACAAUUUUAAUGUGACUUUUAUGUAAAACCAGUGGUACUAAUUGAUAAACAAUAGUAUUACAAAAUUAUAGGAAGUGGGAUGGAUUAAUUUGGAGUUCAUAUGCAUUUUCUAUGAAUUAUAUAAAUUCUAGGAAUUAUUUUUAUAUUAAAAACUCAUUUUCUAAUUAAUUUUCCUGAUUUUAUAACUCUCUGGACUGGGCCUCAUUUACUGAAAAGCGCAGGGGCUCUACGCAAGAUUUCCGAGACUCAGGCUACACCCGCACAGGACGGCGGGUUGAAUCCGAGAAAACCCAGGGUUUCUUUUAUAAAACAUACCCGCGAAGGGGUACGGGGUGAUAUAGGCCGUCGGAUUAGAAAUCCAAGGCCCAGAUCAGAACCUGGCUUAAGUGAACCGGUAAGCUCUGGCGGCCGCCCGAUCCGAGAUCUACGGAUCGGAUUUAAAAUACCCGAGGUGGCUUCGAAUGCGUCCGAUCCCCAUCCAACGGUUCGGAUCAUCACACGCGAAGGGGUAUCUUCCUAUUCUAAUCGCAGCCGUUCAUUCGCGGAUCCACGGCCACGGUAACAUCUCCACUCCCCCGACCGGGAGGCCGGCGGCGCACGAGUGUUCCCCCGGCGGCGCCAUGGCCGGCGAAGGGCCGAUUAACGCACGAGCGCACCUAUUUUAAAAUUGACAGGCGCAGAACAGAGAGGAGAGGGUAGCGAACAUAAUGGUGGAUUCCAUACCGAGGAUUAAGCUCCCAGGAGUCCCGUCCACGGCGCACGGCGGUAAUCCGCGGUGGGGCAAGCGACGGCGAGCAAUUCCGGUGUCUUCAACGCUCCUUGGUCAUGGCCACCCCAUCGUGUAUGCUCCACGUGCAACCCCGAAGCCCCAGGCCCACACGCCGAGGAUGAUUCGCCACCGUGGGCGGAGAUCACCGGCGGCGGACGGAGAUGCGGGGAGAAAGCACGGUCCCGAGGAGAGAGAUGUGAAGGAGAGGGGGGUCGCGGCUACGUACUUAUACUCAGGGGGCGCUUCGCGGUUGUUGUACGGGUACCGAGAUCACCGGCGAGCUCGCGGAGUCCGCGCGAUGGUGUUCGUCGCGGCAACAGACUUCGCACAGCACGCGUGGAGUUCGGAAGGAAGACGGAGACGACCCUGACGACGGGGCCCCACGCGACAGCCAGAUGAGAAGUCGGCCGCGCGCGCGUGUGGAGAAGGCGACGAGGCUGACAGGGUGGCCCCGCCGAUCAGCGACGAAGCAGGCGUGUGCGCAAGAGGGGGAGAGACUGCCCCGUGGGACCCAUAUGUCGGCGCCUGGUUGGAGUCUUGGGCUGCGCGUGGGAGGUUUAAUGUGGGCCGAAAUGUGUGGUUGCGGCCCAGUUAGGGUUUUUCUCUUUUUCCAUUUUAUUUUCUAUUUCUUUUCUUCAUUUCCAAGUUAAAUUUGAAUUCAAACUUAAAUUUAAAUCUCUAUGGCUCAUCAUUUCAAUUUAUUUUUGUGAAGUUAGGGAUAUUAAUUCUGAAUAUACUUGUUUAUAUAUAUAUUAUUUAUAUUUUUGUUUUAUAUCCCUUCUCUUUCUCUUAUUUUCUAUUUUCUAUUCCAAAAUCAAAUUUAUACUUCUAUUUUAGUUUUCAGAUUUUUCAAAUGUAUCAAUUGAAAUCCAAAGGUGAAUAUAAACCAUAUUAUUUUAAUAUUACUAAUUUAAGUUUUAUUCUCCUUGUUAUCUAUUUCAUGGGAUGUAUAAAUGGUUUCCUUUGAAAGAUAAAUCCCUUUUCUCAUCAUUUUUCUUAUUUUCCUAAUUUCCAAAGCAUUAUGAUACUUUGUUUAUAUUUUUUUUUCCUACUAAUUUUGGGUCUUACAAAUCCUACCCCCCUUAAAAAUAAUCUCGUCCUCGAGAUUUGUAAGAAAGAGGAUAUAGGAAGAGUGAUUUAAAAUCUAGCUUUUAGUUUCUAAUUAGUUCAAAAUCAAGAGUCUCUUUUUUUUUCAUUAGUAAGUGAUUAGGAGAGCAUGGGUAUAUAUAUGUAUGUCCACUUUAUUAUGUAGAAUAGAAGAUGUCUUUAGGGCAUAUAUAGGUUUGGGUAAGAAAGAGUAGGAUAAGAAAAGACUUCAUCCAAGAUUGUGGAUCUUGACUCAUCUUGGUGACCUCACUUGAUCCUUGAAGACUUGAGUUGAUGCUCAACCUUCCUUGAUGAAGUUGAUCAUCUUCUUCGGUCUUGUCUCAUUGAUUAGGAGUUAGUGUAUAUUAUUGGGCUAGGGAAUAUGGUUAAUAUAGGUAUGGAUGAGAUAGACUACAUGAUGUAGGUCAAAAGUUUGUUUGAUGUUAGGUGGGAAUAGAAAGGUUAUACCAUUCAUCAUGGUUCUAUGGGUUGGGUUAGCUCAUGGUUGAAUUGAUCCAAUGUGCUAAGAUAAGUUAAUACAUGGCUAGUAAGGUCUAAUCUCUUUUUACCUGUAUCAUUAGUCUAAUUAAGUAGGCCACAUUAGAUUAGUUUAGUAGAUGGCUAUGAGUUAAAUGAGAUUAGUCAGAAUCUGGUUUGAUUGUUUUGCUUCUGUAUGGUUUGGAUAGGGUAUGUAACCUAGGUAUGGCUGAACUGAUCUAAGUCAUCAAUUUAGGCUUAAGUGAAUUAGGAGCAUGGCCAUAUCUUUUGCACCAGCAUUAAGUAACACACACUAGAUUAGAUCAUAUUAGGUUAAGUAGGAGCUAGAUUAGAUUGAAUAUGACUAGAUUAGACUAGUUUAGGUUAAAUAGAUCUACUAGGGUAGGAUAAAUAUUAUUAGGAUAUGUUAGAAUCUUUAGAAGUUAGUUAUAUUUAUUAGGACCAGAUAAAAUCUUUUUAAGGUAAGAUGAAUCUAUUAAGGUAAUAGAGUAUACUUUAAGAUAAGAUGGAUCUAUUACACAAGAUUGAAUUUAGGUUAGAUUGGUAUGACUAGUUUGACUAAAUAAGAUCUAAUUAGGUUGCAUUAGAUCAUGGUUGUUUAAUCUAGGGUGGAUAAGUAUGCUUAUUAGGAUAAGACAGAUCCAUAAAGAUAAGAUAGAAUCUUCUGGGGUCAGUUAGAUCUAUUAGGAUGAGAUAAAAUCUUUUCAAGAUAAGAUGAGUAUCUUUUAAGAUGAGAUGGAUCUUAUUAAGAUAAGAGAGAAUCUUUUAAGAUAAGAUGAAUUGGUUUGAAUGAGAUCUUUUAGGAUAAGAUAAAUCUCUUAAGCUAGAUAUGUUCCAAUGGGGAUACACUAGGCUGUCUAGUUAUUUUAUAAAUAUAUUUUAAUACCUAUGUGUAUAUGCAGAUGCAAUUGUGGACAUUACUCCACAACCCAUCACACUCAAUCAAAGAUCCAAAUCAGACAAGUAUCAUAAGAACAAAACAUUCAAAUACAUAAACACUUAAGAAAAUAUUUUUUUUUGAUUUUGUUCCUAAGAGUAGGUCUCCUAUUCCUAAAGUCACUUUAGGCACAGGAUUUCAAAGUGUGAAAUCCACAUUUGUCUUUAGAAAGAAAAGGUAAGAAUAAUCAGAGUAGAGCGGAAAUAGAUGAGAAAAGAUUAAGAAAAGUUUAGAAAGAAUCAGAGUAGGGUAAGUAGAUAAUGGUUGGCCAGUUCUAUCUAGGUUUCGUCCUACAGUCAACAUUCCUCUGAUACCACUUCUGUAACACCCGGAUUUUAGGGGUCCAAAACCCGGGCGCUAACAUAAACACCAGGUAUGCUGGGACCAAGUCUCACACAUAUGAUGUAUAGUGGCACAUGAUCGAAUGUCACAACUUUAUAUAUAACAGGAGUUCUAUACAAAAUAAAUAAUUACAUUAUAAGGAGACAACGGUCCAGCAACCCAAAAGUUGACUGGGAGACGACGACCUAGACCUCUCACGAACUCAUCACAGCAUCCUCCAUGAGCGUCAUCCUGCAGUACCUGGUCUUGACCUGUGGUGUAUGUGAGACAGCAAGAGUGAGCUCACAUACGUUCA